CUGGGAACUGCCUCGCGAACUGGGUGUCUGGAAUGCCCCCUGCCGUGGGAGGAAUGUGUGGUGUAGCGGUGAAAUGCAUAGAGAUCACACAGAACACCGAUUGCGAAGGCAUCUCACGAAGGGGUGAUUGACGCUGAGGCACGAAAGCGUGGGGAUCAAACAGGAUUAGAUACCCUGGUAGUCCACGCAGUAAACGAUGAUAACUAACCGCUGGGCAUUCGUGUUCAGUGGCCAAGCGAAAGCGAUAAGUUAUCCACCUGGGGAGUACGACCGCAAGGUUGAAACUCAAAGGAAUUGACGGGGGCCCGCACAAGCGGAGGAACAUGUGGUUUAAUUCGAUGAUACGCGAGGAACCUUACCCGGGCUCGAACGGCUGGUGAAGAGAUCCAGAGAUGGUGACGUCCUUCGGGACACCAGUCGAGGUGCUGCAUGGUUGUCGUCAGCUCGUGCCGUGAGGUGUCGGCUCAAGUGCCAUAACGAGCGCAACCCUUGUCGUCAGUUACCAGCAAGUAGCGUUGGGGACUCUGGCGAGACUGCCACCGCAAGGUGAGAGGAAGGGGGGGAUGACGUCAAAUCAGCACGGCCCUUACGUCCGGGGCGACACACGUGUUACAA
rnacentral:rRNA from 1 species